GUGCUUGCUUUGUCAGCGCAUACACUAAAAUUGUAAUGAUACAGAGAAGAGUAGCAUGGUCCCUGUGCAAGAAUGACAUGCAAAUUCAUGAAGUGUUCCAUAUUUUG
ensembl:snRNA U6 U6 spliceosomal RNA